AGGAGUUGCUGCCAGAGAACCAGGAAUGGGCUGCUUGCAGCAUAUUAUUUGCUCAGUUUAUAUUAUAUAGGCAUGUGAGAGUUGAGAACCAUUGUUGAAUGAAGAAUUUCAGUCACCUGGAUCCAAGGUAUUCACAUCCCAAAGGAAUCUUUCCAGAAGACUAUCCCCAUGACAUGAGAAAACUUUUCAUCAUUAAGCUGAUGUCAGAUUGCCAGUAUCCAGUCGUUCCUGAUAGAUACCUAAUGUUUUAUUAUGGAAAAAGUUGGUGGAGUUUAUCAAGGUCAUAAAAGUCUCAGCUGUUAGAAGACUCCAUGGAAAUUAUACAGGAAUCAUUUGACUGCUCUAUAGGAGCCCAUGCUAGAAGACAGGAACACCUGAGGAACUGCAGUGGUAAAGAAAGACAUAAAAAAGUGUUUGAUGGGCACUUGGCACAAAUUUUAUUGGAGGAAAUAUUUUCCAUUAAACCUACAAGGAGAUCCAGUUGCUUCUUCUGUGCUGUGUUCCAGUUCCACUCUCACAGUCUGAACUCUCACAUGCCAGCUUCUAAACCAUGGUCUUUCUUCUCUUCCUGGCAGCCAGU